AACAAGGAUUCCCCCAGUAACGGCGAGUGAAGCGGGAAUAGCUCAAAUUUGAAAUCUCCGACGCUUGCGUCGGCGAGUUGUAGUUGCGAGAAGCACUUUCUCGGCGGAUCGGGCGCGCCUAAGUUGCUUGGAACAGUACGUCGCAGAGGGUGACAACCCCGUCUGUGGCGCGGCCGGCCGCUCACGAUGUGCUUUCGAAGAGUCGGGUUGUUUGGGAAUGCAGCCCAAAAAGGGUGGUAAACUCCAUCUAAAGCUAAAUAUUGACGUGAGACCGAUAGCGAACAAGUACCGUGAGGGAAAGAUGAAAAGAACUUUGAAAAGAGAGUUAAAAAGUACGUGAAACCGUUGGAAGGGAAACGAAUGGACUCAGCAAUGCGCCGUUUUGAGAUUCAGCCGGCCGGCCGGAUCGGCUCGGGGUUUGCGGAUCCGAACGGACCGCGGUCUCGGGCUCGUUCCUCCCGGCCGUCGCACUUCUCUUGGGCGCACGUCAACGUCGGUUGGGACCGGGUCUAAAAGGUUCCGGGAAGGUAGGUGCGCCAGCCCGGUUCUCUCGCGGCUCGGGCCCGACCGAGGCGGUGGCAGCGCAUGCCUCUUUUGGCUAGGGUCCCGUCCGUCCUGCCGGUCGUCGACCGCGGUGGACUGCUUGCAGUGCUCCGCGACCGCUGCCGGUCGUUCGGGUGGUGACGUCGUAAGAUGCGCUUAAGAUGUUGGCGGUCAUAUGGGUCC
rnacentral:rRNA from 1 species